rnacentral:rRNA from 1 species
CAGUAGCCGCGGUAAUACGUAGGUGGCAAGCGUUGUCCGGAAUUAUUGGGCGUAAAGGGCUCGCAGGCGGUUUCUUAAGUCUGAUGUGAAAGCCCCCGGCUCAACCGGGGAGGGUCAUUGGAAACUGGGAAACUUGAGUGCUGAAGAGGAGAGUGGAAUUCCGCGUGUAGCGGUGAAAUGCGUAGAGAUGUGGAGGAACACCAGUGGCGAAGGCGACUCUCUGGUCUGUAACUGACGCUGAGGAGCGAAAGCGUGGGGAGCGAACAGGAUUAGAUACCCGAGUAGUCCCUGUCUCUUAUAC